UACGUAGGUGGCAAGCGUUGUCCGGAUUUACUGGGCGUAAAGAGCGCGCAGGCGGUCGUUCAAGUCGCGUGUGAAAGCCCCCGGCUCAACUGGGGAGGGUCACGCGAUACUGAUCGACUCGAAGGCAGGAGAGGGUAGUGGAAUUCCCGGUGUAGUGGUGAAAUGCGCAGAUAUCAGGAGGAACACCGGUGGCGAAGGCGGGUCUCUGGGCCGAUACUGACGCUGAGGAGCGAAAGCGUGGGGAGCAAACAGG
rnacentral:rRNA from 1 species